CCUUCGGCCGGAAAGGAGAGAAAGGAAACCCUGGACUAUCUGUCGAAGAUGUGAAGCAUAUUGUCAGGACCGAGAUAAAGGACCAAGACGCUUGCACUGGUGAGUUGGACACAGGAGUGCCAUCCAAUGAGAAGCUACUACUGCUUGCCCACCUUGAAGAUAAGCCUGGAAUUCUAAUUUCAAGUACUGUAUCAGUAUAUGCCUAGAGAAUGAAAGCUCUAUAAAAAUUUACUUUUUAAGCUUCCAAUGCACACGUGGCAUUAUUACUUUAUUUACAACUAGCCGU